ACUCCUACGGGAGGCAGCAGUGGGGAAUCUUGGACAAUGGGGGGCGAACCCUGAUCCAGCCAUGCCGCGUGAGUGAUGAAGGCCUUAGGGUCGUAAAGCUCUUUCGCCUGUGAUGAUAAUGACAGUAGCAGGUAAAGAAACCCCGGCUAACUCCGUGCCAGCAGCCGCGGUAAUACGGAGGGGGUUAGCGUUGUUCGGAAUUACUGGGGCGUAAAGCGCGCGUAGGCGGAUUAGUCAGUUAGAGGUGAAAUCCCAGGGCUCAACCCUGGAACUGCCUUUAAUACUGCUAGUCUUGAGUUUGAGAGAGGUGAGUGGAAUUCCGAGUGUAGAGGUGAAAUUCGUAGAUAUUCGGAGGAACACCAGUGGCGAAGGCGGCUCACUGGCUCGAUACUGACGCUGAGGUGCGAAAGUGUGGGGAGCAAACAGGAUUAGAUACCCUGGUAGGAUAGCG
rnacentral:rRNA from 1 species